GUGCUUGUUUUGGCAGCACAUAUACUAAAAGUGGAACGAUACAGAGAAGAUUAGCAUGGUCGCUGCACAAAGAUGAUACACAAAUACAUAAAGCGUUCCAUAUUUUU
rnacentral:snRNA from 1 species